rnacentral:rRNA from 1 species
GCCUACGGGGCGCAGCAGUAGGGAAUCUUCCAUAAUGGGCGAAAGCCUGAUGGAGCAACGCCGCGUGGGUGAAGAAGGUCUUCGGAUCGUAAAACCCUGUUGUUAGAGAAGAAAGUGCGUGAGAGUAACUGUUCACGUUUCGACGGUAUCUAACCAGAAAGCCACGGCUAACUACGUGCCAGCAGCCGCGGUAAUACGUAGGUGGCAAGCGUUAUCCGGAUUUAUUGGGCGUAAAGAGAACGCAGGCGGUCUUUUAAGUCUGAUGUGAAAGCCUUCGGCUUAACCGGAGUAGUGCAUUGGAAACU